rnacentral:rRNA from 1 species
UACUGAGACACGGACCAGACUCCUACGGGAGGCAGCAGUGAGGAAUAUUGGUCAAUGGGAGAGAUCCUGAACCAGCCAAGCCGCGUGAGGGAAGACGGCCCUAUGGGUUGUAAACCUCUUUUGUCGGAGAACAAAACCCCGGGACGUGUCCCGGACUGCGUGUAUCCGAAGAAAAAGCAUCGGCUAACUCCGUGCCAGCAGCCGCGGUAAUACGGAGGAUGCGAGCGUUAUCCGGAUUUAUUGGGUUUAAAGGGUGCGUAGGCGGUCCGUUAAGUCAGCGGUAAAAUUGCGGGGCUCAACCCCGUCGAGCCGUUGAAACUGGCAGACUUGAGUUGGCGAGAAGUACGCGGAAUGCGCGGUGUAGCGGUGAAAUGCAUAGAUAUCGCGCAGAACUCCGAUUGCGAAGGCAGCGUACCGGCGCCAGACUGACGCUGAGGCACGAAAGCGUGGGGAUCGAACAGGAUUAGAUACCCUGGUAGUCCACGCAGUAAACGAUGAAUGCUGGUUGUCCGGGUCGAAUGAGACCUGG